UACGGAGGGUGCAAGCGUUAAUCGGAAUUACUGGGCGUAAAGGGUGCGUAGGCGGUUGUUUAAGUCUGUUGUGAAAUCCCCGGGCUCAACCUGGGAAUGGCAAUGGAUACUGGGCAGCUAGAGUGUGUCAGAGGAUGGUGGAAUUCCCGGUGUAGCGGUGAAAUGCGUAGAGAUCGGGAGGAACAUCAGUGGCGAAGGCGGCCAUCUGGGACAACACUGACGCUGAGGCGCGAAAGCCAGGGGAGCAAACGGG
rnacentral:rRNA from 1 species